UCGAACGGGAAAUAUUCAUUGAGACUUCGGUGGAUUUGAUCUAUUUCUAGUGGCGGACGGGUGAGUAACGCGUGGGUAACCUGCCCUAUACAGGGGGAUAACAGUCAGAAAUGGCUGCUAAUACCGCAUAAGCGCACAGAGCUGCAUGGCUCAGUGUGAAAAACUCCGGUGGUAUAAGAUGGACCCGCGUUGGAUUAGCUUGUUGAUGGGGUAACGGCCCACCAAGGCGACGAUCCAUAGCCGGCCUGAGAGGGUGAACGGCCACAUUGGGACUGAGACACGGCCCAGACUCCUACGGGAGGCAGCAGUGGGGAAUAUUGCACAAUGGGGGAAACCCUGAUGCAGCGACGCCGCGUGAAGGAAGAAGUAUCUCGGUAUGUAAACUUCUAUCAGCAGGGAAGAUAGUGACGGUACCUGACUAAGAAGCCCCGGCUAACUACGUGCCAGCAGCCGCGGUAAUACGUAGGGGGCAAGCGUUAUCCGGAUUUACUGGGUGUAAAGGGAGCGUAGACGGUGUGGCAAGUCUGAUGUGAAAGGCAUGGGCUCAACCUGUGGACUGCAUUGGAAACUGUCAUACUUGAGUGCCGGAGGGGUAAGCGGAAUUCCUAGUGUAGCGGUGAAAUGCGUAGAUAUUAGGAGGACACCAGUGGCGAAGGCGGCUUACUGGACGGUAACUGACGUUGAGG
rnacentral:rRNA from 1 species